UACGUAGGGGGCAAGCGUUAUCCGGAUUUACUGGGUGUAAAGGGAGCGUAGACGGCAGAGCAAGUCUGAAGUGAAAGCCCGCGGCCCAACUGCGGGACUGCUUUGGAAACUGCCCGGCUAGAGUGCUGGAGAGGUAAGCGGAAUUCCUAGUGUAGCGGUGAAAUGCGUAGAUAUUAGGAGGAACACCAGUGGCGAAGGCGGCUUACUGGACAGUAACUGACGUUGGGGCUCGAAAGCGUGGGGAGCAAACAGG
rnacentral:rRNA from 1 species